AAUUUUUGACAAUGGGUGAAAGCCUGAUCCAGCAAUGCCUCGUGCAGGAUGAAGGCCUUCGGGGUGUAAAUUGCUUUUGUACGGAACGAAAAGCUUUGGGUUAAUACCCUGGAGGCAUUACGGUACCGUAAGAAUAAGCACCGGCAAACUACGUGCCAGCAGCCGCGGUAAUACGUAGGGUGCAAGCGUGAAUCGGCAUUACUGGGCGUAAAGCGUGCGGAGGCGGUUUUGUAAGACAGAGGUUGAAACCCCGGGCUCAACCUGGGAAAUGCCUUUGUGACUGCAAGGCUAGAGUACGGCAGAGGGGGGUAGAAUUCCGCGUGUAGCAGUGAAAUGCGUAGAUAUGCGGGGGAACACCGAUGGCGAAGGCAACCCCCUGGGACUGUAAUGACGCUCAUGCACGAAAGCGUGGGGAGCAAACA
rnacentral:rRNA from 1 species